AUUGAACGCUGGCGGCAGGCCUAACACAUGCAAGUCGAGCGGAUGAAGGGAGCUUGCUCCUGGAUUCAGCGGCGGACGGGUGAGUAAUGCCUAGGAAUCUGCCUGGUAGUGGGGGACAACGUUUCGAAAGGAACGCUAAUACCGCAUACGUCCUACGGGAGAAAGCAGGGGACCUUCGGGCCUUGCGCUAUCAGAUGAGCCUAGGUCGGAUUAGCUAGUUGGUGAGGUAAUGGCUCACCAAGGCGACGAUCCGUAACUGGUCUGAGAGGAUGAUCAGUCACACUGGAACUGAGACACGGUCCAGACUCCUACGGGAGGCAGCAGUGGGGAAUAUUGGACGAUGGGCGAAAGCCUGAUCCAGCCAUGCCGCGUGUGUGAAGAAGGUCUUCGGAUUGUAAAGCACUUUAAGUUGGGAGGAAGGGUUGUAGAUUAAUACUCUGCAAUUUUGACGUUACCGACAGAAUAGCACCGGCUAACUCUGUGCCAGCCGCCGCCGUAAAAC
rnacentral:rRNA from 1 species